AAGCCGAAGCAAUUUGACCUUGCUGGUUCUCUGGUGGCUUUUCUGAGGCUGGGUCACUGAUAAUAGACGAAUAAGCUACAACACAGGUGCCCCUGGGCCGCAAACCCAUCUCCAAAGGCUGCGAGACUCCGGAGGCAGGUGCCAGGGGUGAGAGAGUAGUCAGGAAGAAGAGGCAUUUUACCAGUUUCCCUCGGCUGUCCCAGCCAACAUCACAUCUGCUGCUGCUUAUAUUUGUGUCCAGCUGCUGUUAUGUGGGUAAUUCAGGGGCAAUUCAGAGGCAUGAAGUUUCAGACGAGACUGAGAGCCAUGGAGUUUGCUUUAAUCUCCAGAACAUGGAG
rnacentral:lncRNA from 1 species